CCUGCCCUUCAUCUAACCUAGACCUCUCCUUGCCUCACAGGGAAAACUGAGGCAUGAGGGAUGGAGUGCCACUGGGGGCUGCUCUCAGAGGCUCUCUGGCUCAACCCCAAACCUCAUGGAAUCCAGAGGCCCAGAUCGGGGGAGGUACUGUCCAGAUGCCAUAGCUUUUAGAGAAAAGCCUCACUGAUCCAGGCACCAGUGGAUAAAUCAGUCUGAUUCCACCUAGCUGUCCAGUCCCCAGGUGUAGAAACUGAGGCUAGAACCAGGAAUGAGAUGCCAGAUUGUGGCUGGAUCCCAGGCAUGUUUGCCCAAGGAUAGGGGGCUGGGCUCCCAGCCUACAGGGUCAAAUUUCAAGGAGCCUGAGACUUGCCCUGCCUUGCCCAGCCUGGCAAGGCCUGAACAACAGAGGCCAGAAACCAAACCGGAUUUGCCUUUAACCCCCUCGGGCCUCUCCAUAUUGCUGGGAUACCCCUGCCUUCUCCAGAUACAUGGGCAAAGCCUACUUCCCUGAAGCCAAAAGAGGCCCAAGGCAUGCACCAUAUUGGAGUCUGAGAGCAGGUGGCGCCAUGAUCCCACAAAAGCAUCACCUCCACUUGUAAGACUCCGCAGUCCCAGUGUGAACCCUUCAAGGGCUUCACUUGGACCCCUGCCUGUCUCUUUCCACUGCCGGUCCUCCUUUCCACUCCAGUGCUCCGGAUAUCGAGGUGCUGGGGAAGUUCUGGCUUUGGAGUCAUUCAGACCAGGAAGAAUGGGAGCCAGGUCACCUCCAUCUAUGACCCCAGCGCCCAGCACAUAUGAAGUUGUUAGUGAACAAUUCCUGAAUGAUUGAAUGAAUAAAUGAGUGCAGAACAGCAAGAGUUAAAUGUCUGGGCUUUGGACUGUAGCCAUCAGGGAUUAGGAAACCCUGCCUGCCUCUAAUUGUGUGACCUCACCUAACUGAGCCUCAGUUUCCUUAUAUAGCCGAUUAUUAUUCAUGGCUUCCAUAUCUUCCAUAUCUGUGAAUUGACCUACUCACUAGAAUUUAUUUGUAACCCCAUGCCAAUCCUCAUGUCACUUUUGCGGUCACUCACAAGACAUUCGCAGAGCUGCAAAAAUGUUGAGCUGCCUCCUUCCCAUGUUCUUAGCGGAAGCUGAAUAGGAGGGUUCUCUGCCUCCUUGCUUGACCUCUUAGAAUGUAUACCUGUUCUUGUGGUCCAUUCAGUGUCACAUUUUCCUCAUUUUUGUGCUUGUGGUGGUGAUUUUGCUGUUUAUUGAAUAAUGCUGAAGUGCUAUCUAGUGUCUCUGAGCACAAGAAGGCUGCAGUGGGCCUUAUAGCCGAUGUGACCAGAGGCUUGUAGGAGCGUUGGCUCCAUUUACUAAUGUAUUUGUGGUGGGGACUUUAUUAGACUGGGACUACUGUGAAUGAGAACUGACUGUAUACGAAAUAGGAAUAAUGAUAGAGUAAGGUUGUUGUGGGAUUAAUGAGAGAGUGUUUAUAAAGUACUGGUUGCUCUUUGGCACCACAGUAAAUGGUUAAGAAACAUUGUUAAUAUUGUCAA